rnacentral:lncRNA from 1 species
GCAUUCACGAGAGUGGUAGCUCUGUUCCAAAACGUUUUUCAAGACACAGGAACCGUCCGGUUGUAAUAUUACUGAAUCUUUACGUUCUAAAGGCCCUAAAGAUUGAUGUUUUACAACGUUUGACAUGUUUGAACGAACGUAAAUACAACUUUUUUAAACUUUUCGUCGUGACAUUGUCCGCGCGCUUCCUACAUUUGGAGUAGCUGAACUGAACGCGCAAACAACAAGGAGUUAUUUGGACAUAAAUUAUGGAGUUUAUCGAACAAAACAACAUUUAUUGUGGACCUGGGAUUCCUGGAAGUGUCUUCUGAUGAAGAUCAUCAAAGCCAAUGACGGGGAUCUGGGCCUGGCAGGUGUCUGUAUUAUAUCCCUCCCGUCCGACUCAUUGAAGAAAAACUCUUCAGAUAAUCUGAAAAGUUGGUGUUGGUGCUCUAGACAGAAGGCAAGUAGUUAAAAGGUUGCAGAUGAUGAUAGAAUGGCUUGGAAAUGUACUCAAUGCACUUAAAACUCAUCUAUCGCGAUGCCACAAUGCAGAGGUCAGGAAUAGGGAAGGUCAGGAGCAUGCAUCUUUUAACUGACCUCUGUGUACAUUCAAGCAACCUUUCUUUGAAUUUGUACUCUUCAGUCACCUUAGGGGACAUUUAAAGAAGCAUGAGAGAGUAGGACACACCAAGUGAGUGUUAUGUCAGAUUUUCAUGAUGACAUUGUCUGUCAGGAAACUGAUAACCUAACUGCCACUAACUCAGAUGACUUAUGUGAAGAAUGUCCCAGCCUGUCAAGAGGUGAGUGUAGCUGGUGCAUCGAAGUCAGGUGCAGAGAUGAGUGGACAAAGCACUUUACUAAGGCAAUCAUAUGCACAGAACGCAAUUGCGUCACAGAACAAAUGCCCAACGAACCAGUGAAGCAGCACAAAGUACAAAAACACAAGUACAAAGUACAGGCUGCCACAAAGCACGGGUAAUAAAAUAAACCCAGCGCAAACCAGCCUGAAGCCUGCCAACCUCAACAAUAAACAAUUACACACACGGACAUGGGGGGAACAGAGGGUUAAAUACACGACAUGUAAUGAGAUGUACCAGGUGUGUGGGAAAACAAGACAGAACAAAUGGAAAAUGAAAGGUGGAUCGGCGAUGGCUAGAAGACCGGUGACGUCGACCACCGAACGCCACCCACCCAAACAAGGAGAGGAACCGGCAUCAGCGGAAGUCGUGACAGUACCCCCCCUUGACGCGCGGCUCCAGCAGCGCGCCGACACUGGCCUCGGGGACGACCCGGAGG